ensembl:lncRNA
GGGAACCAGACAGACUCAACGCAUGAUCCAGUGAGAUUAUCUUCCAAAGAAAGCAGACAGGAUACCAACAAGCUACCCAGUAGUUGUCAAAUAUAUCACCGCUUUAUAAUUCUGAGAUGAAAAGUAAAUGAAGGAAGACUAGCCCUGAGCUAACAUCCAUGCGCAUCUUCCUCUACUUUCUAUGUGAGACACCUGCGACAGCAUGGCUUGACAAGCGGUGCCAUGUCCAAACCCAGGAUCCGAACUGAACCCCGGGAUGCCAAAGCAGAAUGUGUGAACUUGACCGCUGUGCCACCAACCCCGCCCCUCAACAUUUUUUAAGAUAUUCAGGAUCCUGACAACCUCCAGAAAGAAAGUUAUGUAUUGGUACCCAUGAGGAAUGACAGAAGAAAAAGAUAAUGUGGUGUCUUGAAGUUCGUCACACAGGCUAGUCGACAUCCCUAAACCUCCUCUUUCCCUGACCACUUUUCCUGUACAACUGCCUCAUGAUUCCUAUGACUUUAAGUUGGUUCUUCAGGACGCUAGACCGCCAUCUUCCAAUUUUGCUAGCUAAUCAUAUAAAUUUUCAUUUCCCAAUCACCUGCUUGUUUGCAAUUAAUUGGCACCAGAUUGUGGUGAGCAGAAGGAACCUCUUUUUGCUUGGUUAUGCUUUCAUUUAAAUUCCAGUUUCUCCCCAAUUCCUAACUUUCUGUCUUUAACUUAGGCCAAUUUCUUGCAACUUUAUUCCAGCCAAUGACUUUGCUCAGAUAUUUAUAAGUGUGUAAAUGUUUCCCUCAAGUUUUCUGUUCUCGCCGGGAGUUGCUUCUUUGCAAAUGUCUGAUUUCUUUAUACUGCUAAUUUUUUUUGAAAUAUUAAGCUAUCCUUCUCUAUGUGAUUUAUUUGGAUUAUAAGGACUGCAAAAAUUAAAAAUGAGCAUUUGAAAUUCCAACUGAAAUAUAAGUACAUGUUUUAAUCUUAUGGGCAACAGAUGACUUCACACAAAAUGAUGCUUUGAGAUACCCUACAUUUCAUUGAUUCAAACAUUUCUCCAUAUCUUUAUCUUAGGAUUCUUGUGCUUAAACUUAAAUGUUAGUGUGGAAAUAAUUUAUCUUUCUAGGCAAUACCAUCAACAUAUGUAAUUACAGGUUUUACUCACUUAGCAAUAAUUUCAAAUGUGUGUUUCUUGUGUGUCUUUGAGAUAGACAUUGAUCUCUAAUUCCUAGAAUAUUUUCAUUUUACUUAACAGGCAUAUCUAUUUGGUCUAUGUGAAACUUCAUAUUGUCUAUUUGAACAUAUGGUCUAUUUGAAACUUCAGCAUUAAAUUUGAGAAUCAAAACCUUGUUUCUUCCAUUUUUCAUGAGUUCAUGGGAGAAGUAUAAUCGGAAGGAAGGAGACUUUAACUGCUUCUGCAUUUUUCAGUAGAUACCCACAUCCAGUGAAGAAAGUUAAAAUUAAUAUUUUGACAUAUAAUAUUCCUCAGAACUCACUCAAAUUUUGUUUCUAAACCUCAACUUAUACAAUUAAGUCCAUACGUUCUUUAUGUAGUUCCUCGGCUCUGGUCAUUAUUUGCUGAACACAUUUUUUUAAGUAACUGGAUGCCUCUGAUUAUCCCAAUUUUUUCUCCCUUUUCCUAUUUCUUUCUCUAAAAAGAUCAUUCCACUUUCAAAAACAUCUUAAUUAUGUCAUGUUUCUUGUGUAACUUUUCAAAUUCCUGCACCAACAUCAUUUUUCAUUUUUUGGUGCCCUCUUUUGACCUCAUUUAUACCAAUUUUAUAAAAUUUCACACAUACUAUUGUUAUUCAUUUAAAAUAAGUAUCCCUGAUUCUAUCUUGAUCAAUGAAGCCCUCCUAAAAAAUUUUCUUCACCUUCUCUUAUUCAUUUGACUUCUGUUUUUACUUAGUAACUCAUAAAAAUGUAGAAUACACAUAUUUAUAUAAAAUGUUCCUAAUUUUAAGAAUACGUUAAAAGAGGAAAUAAACACAUUAGAAUAGUUACCUUUGUUGGGGAGACUGGUUUUGUUGGGAAAGUGGUUGUGGACCACUUUCUUAUACCAUAUACAAAAGUAAACUCAAAAUUGAUUAAAUGCUUAGAUGUAAGGCCUGAAUCCAUAAAACUACUAGUAGAAAUCUUAGGUAGUAAAGAUCUUUGACAUCAGUCUGAGCAAUAUUGUUUUGGACUUGUCUCUUCAUGCAAGUGUGACAAAAGGAAAAUAAACAAAUUAGACAACAUCAAACUAAAAAGCUUUUGCACAGCAAAGGAAACCAUCAACAAAAUGAAAAAGUAGCCUAAGGAACGGGAGAAGAAAUUUGGAAAUGUCAUAACUGAUAAGGGUUUAAUACCCCAAAUAUAUAAAGAACUUAUACACCUCAGUGCCAAAAAGCAAACAAUUCUAUUACAAAAAGAACAGAAGUCCUGAAUAGACAUUUUUCUCAAUAAGACACACAGAUGGCCAACAGGCAGAUGAAAAGAUGCUCAUUGUCACUCAUCAAAGGAAUGUAAUGAAAACCACGAUCUCACACUUGUCAGAAUACCUCUUAUCAAAAAUAAAACAAAUAAGUAUUGAUGAGGAUGUGGAGAAAGGGGAACACUGCUGCUCUGUUGGUCAGAACGCAAAUUGGUACAGUUACUACGGAAAAUAGCAUGGAGGUUUCUCAAAAAAUUAGAGAGAACAACCAAAUGCUCCAGCAAUUCCACUUUUGGGUGUUCAUCCAAAGAAAAUAAACACACUAAACUGAAAAGAUAUAUCCGGCCAUAUGUUCAUGGCAGCUUUGUUAAAGAUAGCCAAGACAUGGUAGAAAGUGAAGUUUCCAUCUGUAGCUGAAUGUAUAAAGAAGAUUUGGUGUAUAUAUAUGCAAUGGAAAAUUAGUCAACCGUAAAAAAGAAUGCAACCCUGCCAGUUGCAAAAAGAUGGAUGGAUCUAGAGUGUAUUAUGCUAAAUGAAGUAAGUAAUUUGAGAUCUUAAUAAAAUGGCUGAAGUAAGUCAUUUGAGUUCUAAAAAAAUGUCUGCAAUGUGAUGUGCAUUCUGUAACAAAUCCUUGAAGCAAUGAAGGCUUUAAUGAAUUUAGUAAUGAUUACAAAUUGCUAUGAGCAAAUUCUUCAGGGUAGAGAUCAUUUUGUGUUAUCCACCUGCUUACACUCUUACACUACUGGAACACAGUUAACCUAAAUGUGAACCACAUUUUACAAAUUCUACAUAAAAGAUUCAGGCUAGAGAUAGGAACUGUAGGGUUUGAUGAAUCUAUGCCCUCAUGGGUGCUUUUGUCCUUCUUUUCUUUAAUGAAAUUAUUCCAGUGGAGCUUCUGUGACUCAUUGCCCUGGAAGCAAAUCCUCCAGGACACUCUCUAGAAGAUGGUGUUCAAACUGAUGUGACCACUCCAAAGACCCUUCUAAGCAAACAACACAGAGACUUACGCCCUUGAACAUUAUCCAGAUAUUUCAACACAAAUGUGGAAGUGACAAAGACUCUCUCAGCGUCAAGCAUUUACAUGUGUUUUUGUUCUGCAUUAUUUUUACUUACUCGACAAAAAUCACGAAGUUGAUUGUGUCAGCUGCACUGUCUAAAUCAAGUCUAAAUGGUCCAUUCUCACUAAUCUUCUCUAUGUUACUGGAUGCACUGUAAAGCGUUUUCCGUUCUCCUGAUAACGAAAAGCAAAGUUCCUAUGAGAAUUUUUAGUCAUGCUCUUUUCAACGUUUUUGACAUCAUCCAUCAUGAAUUUUCUGUCCCUUUUACAUCAACACCAAACUCACUAUGUUUAUUAAACAAAAGCAAGUUUUAUAAAAUAGUGUGAAAACUGAAGUCAAUGGUAAAAGAAGAAAUGGAGAUAUUUCUGAAAUAGCUUAAGUUUUAUUAUCAAAGUAAAACUCCAGUUCAACAGUUCUUUGGUCUGUUUCUCCAUCUUAGACAGGUACAAUAGAACUGCCUAAAGAGCAAAUUAAUAGACAAUACUGAGACAAUUUAAGACAAGUACAGUAGAAAUGUGUAAGGAGCCACUUAAAAGAGUGAUUCUGAGUUUGGAGGUAGACGGCUAGGCUUAGGUGCACAUAAAUUUGGCUAUACACAGAACAACCCCCAAAGGGACACACAGACACACCACCAAGUCAUACUCUCAGAUCAGCCAACCCUUGUUACCAGUGAGUAAUUGGUCUCAGGCUGAGAUUCCUGCUCAGCACAAACCACACCAAGUGCAAGAGUCAGGAGCAGUAUCUUCAUCUCGUUGGUGCUUGUUGACCUUCUUCUGGAGAAGCUGAGUAUGUGCUGGUUGUUGGAGAGAAUCAGAAUUUUCACCACUUUUUAUAGUAUUGGUCUGUUUACAUGAUGCAUAAUGAACCAACAGAUGUUAAUCUUAAGACCUUAGUUUCGUGUACACUUUCUUAUAAUAUCCUGGUAGGCAGUGGUGAGCUUUUAUGGCACUCUGUUCUUUUGAUAAUGAGAUUAACUUUAAGAGAAGCAUUAUGUUGAUUUGGAUGUUUGGUGUUUACAUUAAGGAAGAGAUCACAAUACACAUGAAGUAUUUGAAGGACAGCAAUAUUUAUCCUCUUAGAUCCUGAGUCCCAAAAUGUGAUAAGCUGUCCAAGACCUGUAUCCCCAACUCCCACAUCAUUUCUUUAACAUGGAGGAGGUAUGUUUAAAUUGACUUUCUAAACUAAGUUGUUACCGUCUGGUUUAACAAUAAUAAAUAUGGCAUCUAGGUCAUGAAUCAGUUAUCAAAAUGUUCCUGAAGAGUCUAUAUUUAAGAUUAAUGAAAUCUUUUCAACAAGAGCUACUUCUUGUCUAUUGAUAAGAAUACAUUAUUUAAGAAUCCCUCCCAAAUCCAUGUCUACAAUUUCAUUUUGCUGUGAGUGAACAACUUAAUGUCACUAAAAUUUUUGAGUCUUCUGCCUUGUGUAUAGCUCCUAAUAUUGACAUCUGUGUUUUUGCAGAUCAUCUUCCUGAGCUGUCCAUACAGUGGGUGGCCUAGCUUAGAGAAACCACUGGAAAUCAAUCUCUGAAUAAUAUUCAAUUAUUUGCCACGUAAAUAUUUUCUUUGCUAAGUGUCUCUGUGAUCCAUGUGUUUUGAGUAGGCUGUUUCAUAUGCUAUUUUUGAGUUUGGAGAUUUCUUUAUAUAUUUUGGCUACAAGCGAUAUUUCAGAGAGAAGAGUUGCAAAUAUUUUCUCCCAAUACAUGGAUUCUCUUUUCAUUCCCUCAAAAGUGUCCCUCAAAGACCCAAACAUCUUCAUUUUGCUGAAGAUCCAAGUUAUAUAUUUAUUGUUUGAAAGAAGAAUCAUGCUUUGGAGGCUUGUCUAAGAAAUAUUGGCUUAACCUACAAGGUCACAGAUCUUUCUCCUAUUUCUUCUUCUGGAAUUUGUAGCUUUUCACUUUACAUAUCAAUCACUUUGAGUUUACUAUGUGGGGCAAAGUAUGGGUUGCAGCUCUUUUUUUUAUCCUUUUCUGCACAUGGAUAUCCAAUAUUUCCAGCAAGUUUUGUUGAAAAGACUAUUCUUUUCCACUGAAUUUUUUUUAAUGUUUAUUGAAAAUCCAUUGUCUAUAUAUUUUUGUCACUUCAACAGGAGCAGGUUUUGUUUGGUUUGGUUUUAUUUUCCCCAUUCUCUUACAUAUUCAACAAAACCAGUUAGGACGUGAAGGUCAUAUGACUUCUUUUACGAAUAAAAUAAAAUAAGAAUUAGGCUCCAAAGACCAACCAACCUUGACAAUCUCACAGAGUAACUACUAAUCCACUUUCCUUUGGGUGACCAUUCAGUGAAACUUCUUCAUGUUUUUGAUUUCCUAAGAGACCCCCAGGCAGAUUGCCUAUUCCUUUAAGGAGAAGAUCAUAUCAGCAUAAAACACCGAUCACCUGCUUCUUCCUUGAGGCAGGCUCUUUUUUCCAUUUUACUAAGAGCUCUUUCCUUGUAAAGGUUCAAUAACCUCACUGGAAGAAAAGCAAAUGAAAUAUUCAUUAACAUUGUUCUGUUUUCCUAACAGCUUCAUGAGAAGCUGAUCUUUGAUAUAUUAUUUAUUCUUUGACUCAAUUGUUUCUCCAAGAAAGCAAAAAAGAGUGACAGCACCUCCCCAAUUUUUAACAACUUGAAAAGAAAAAAAACUUUCCCCAUCUCUCUGUACAGGUGCUUAUUUUCAAGGACAUUUAAUCAGCCAAAGAACUUCUUUUUUGUCACAUAUUUCCAUAUCUGUCCAUUUUCUUUCCCAGUAAUUUAUCAGAUAUAUUUUCAUUGUACUGUAAAAAUGAAGAAACAAUGGUGCUCUCAUGAUUUCCAAGUUAGCUGAGUGAAAACACCCACCGUAUUGACACAGGGCAGCUAUGUGCUCCAGGGACACCUCAGAGCCUCAGAACCAUUCCCUUUGUUAGGUGUCUGACUUAGGAGGAGAGCUUGGCUGGAAGGCUUCUGCCUAUGUCUUCAAUUGGCCACUGGCCUUCCCACUCAGAAUAGACCAACACUGUUUGUUCCAUGUUCUUAUAUCUCUCACUCUCUGAUUUCUUUUGCCUUGGUUCCAAUAAUUUUUUUCUCUGUUUUAUUUAUAGCUGUGUGUAUUGUGCUCUUUAAAGUCUGAUUGCAAAAGCUAUGAGGUGGAAAGUUUCCAUGUCUCACAAUGUCCUCACAAAUUUUCCCCAUCACUUCACUGAUUUUGAUAAUUUUGAGUAGGAGUAUAAUCCCUACUAACAUAGUGUCCCACCCAUUUUCCCCUCUCCAUCUCUUCUUAUGUACCUCCAAUAUUGCCAGGUUUUCUGUUGGAGUCCUAGCAGCACAUGUUUCCUGGGUAUGUAUCCUAAGAUCAUUUUGUUACAGGCUCUUAACAUCAGCCCUGAUAUCAGUUCCCCACAUUGAACCCAGCGUAUAUGGGGUUAAAACUAAAACCCACCACCCUGCUUCUCUAGCUCCACUCACAUGUAAACACCUGUUUCUUUAAACUUUGACUCCUUGAGCUUUACAACUAAAUGGGAGUUACAAAUUGUUAAAAGCCCAGGCAGCCUGGAGUUGGAGGCACACUAAAGUUUAGCUAAUCAUCUCUCCUUGAAGUUUGCCAGGAAAGCCACUGUCUCAAGAACAUCAAGAAGCGGAGGCUUCCCAGACCUCAACUUCUGGACUCCUGGCACUCGAAUCCACCUCAAACAAGAAAACAAGACAACGGCGAAGGAUGUCCACCUGCCAUCCUCCUAUCUCACCAUCCCUGCUGCCUUGCUGCAAGCAGCCUCUCAAGGACAAAUGCAGGCUAGUGUAAAAGCACCGACCUGCCGAAGCUACAUGUUUCCCCCUCCCCUACCCAAGCCUCAAAUAAAAAUCCCUACCCAUUCCUCAUUGGGGAGCUAGCAAUUUUUGAGGCAUGAGCCCUUGCUUUGCUCCCUGUGCCUGGCAUAGUAAAAACCUUUCCUCUCCACUCAAGACUGUUCUCAUUAUUUGGAUUGGCAUCCGG